UGGCUUUGGAGGUUGUCCUGGAACU
rnacentral:piRNA from 1 species